UGGGGAAUAUUGCACAAUGGGCGCAAGCCUGAUGCAGCCAUGCCGCGUGUGUGAAGAAGGCCUCGGGUUGUAAAGCACUUCAGCGAGGAGGAAGGUGGUGAGCUUAAUACGCUCAUCAAUUGACGUUACUCGCAGAAGAAGCACCGGCUAACUCCGUGCCAGCAGCCGCGGUAAUACGGAGGGUGCAAGCGUUAAUCGGAAUUACUGGGCGUAAAGCGCACGCAGGCGGUUUGUUAAGUCAGAUGUGAAAUCCCCGGGCUCAACCUGGGAACUGCAUUUGAAACUGGCAAGCUAGAGUCUCGUAGAGGGGGGUAGAAUUCCAGGUGUAGCGGUGAAAUGCGUAGAGAUCUGGAGGAAUACCGGUGGCGAAGGCGGCCCCCUGGACGAAGACUGACGCUCAGGUGCGAAAGCGUGGGGCAGCAAACAGGAUUAGAUACCCCUGGUAGUCCACGCUGUAAAACGAUGUCGAUUUUGGAGGUUGUGCCCUUGAGGCGUGGCUUCCGGAGCUAACGCGUUAAAUCGACCGCCU
rnacentral:rRNA from 1 species